rnacentral:rRNA from 1 species
UACGUAGGGGGCAAGCGUUGUCCGGAUUUAUUGGGCGUAAAGAGCUCGUAGGCGGUUGGGCAAGUCACGUGUGAAAUCUCCACGCUCAACGUGGAGGCGCCACGUGAGACUGCCCUGACUCGAGUCCGGUAGGGGAGCGUGGAAUUCCCGGUGUAGCGGUGAAAUGCGCAGAGAUCGGGAGGAACACCCGUAGCGAAGGCGGCGCUCUGGGCCGGUACUGACGCUGAGGAGCGAAAGCAUGGGUAGCGAACAGG